GGCUAAUGCUUCCAUCCACGUCUAGCGGAAGCUCCUUAAUUCUCUCCUCCACUAAACUCCCUUUUCCUUUCCUGUGAAUGAAAUGAAUGUGUGUCUAGGGAUGCCCAUCAGGGAGGGAGCGAUGGAGGGCCUUGCUUGCGCCACCUCACCGAUCCGUGGCACUUUGUCCAUGGAGCGCGCCCCUCCUAGCUUGUUCUACUCAGCACGCCCGUGGCCAUCUUGUCUUAUAUAUACAACAAGUAGUCAUGUGUCCGCGUGCGACUUGGACUUGGAUCCGGCUCUGCUCGUUCAAUUCAAUUUCCCACUAUGGGAGCGGGCGGAGAUCCAAUCCAUCAUCGUCGUCGUCAUAUUGAUUUCCAACGAUCAUCGUGUCGCUGGGCAGCGGGCCAUGGGACCAGCUCUUCGGCGGAGGGAACGCGCCAUCCUUCUGGGUGGCUGCCGCGGCCUCCUUUGUGGGCGGGCUAGUAGCCAUCCUGGGGCUCCCGCGGGCCCGGCUCGGGCCGAAGAAGAAAACCACCCAACGAUGAUGAUUCGAGCUGAGUAUACAGAGACAUUGUUAUGUUGCAGACAAGGAAGGAAGGCAGGUUGGUCUCAAGUUGCAACCAUUCAUUCUUUGCACACUGGUUCAAAGACACCGGGAACGCUGCCUACACUACACUACACUACACUUGUCAUCAUCAAGUUGGGUUCGGUUCAAAUUCAAGGCCAAAAGUAGGAGGGCUCUGGAAUUUUCCUCCAUGAGCUCUAUCGUCGCCUUUUUUUCGCUUGUCGGUGUGAAACAUGGUCGGUCAUAUGUUGUUGUAUAUCGGAUAUUUUGCCAUUUUGUCGGAGAUUAUCAACCAAUCAAUAAAAGUUGCAGGGUUUUGUUUGAGAUUA